UUUAAAUAUUAUUUUCCAUCAUGGUCUAUCCCGGGAGAUUCGAUAUAGUUCCCUGCGCUAUAAAGUAGGACCUUACUGUUUAUUCAUUCUAAAUGUAAUAGUUUGCAUCUAACUCCAAACUCCCUGUCCAUCUUACUCCCUCCCUCUUCACCCUUGGCAACCACAAAUCAGUAUAGAAUAAUUUUUCUGCUCUCAAAUAAUACAGUCCUUGUAUCACUUAGUAAUUAUUUUGAUUAUGAAUAUUGCAUGAAUUAAUUUCAAUGACAAACAAAUAGAUGUUUCUUGUUCUCAGAUAUCAAGAAGACCAGAUGUAAAUAUUUUCCGACGUGGAGUUAGCUGCCCAGGGAUGCCACUGGGGACUCAAAUUCUUUUCCCCUUUGUGUUUUUUUGUUUUGUUUUGUUUUGUUGCCACACCCAUGUCACGUGGAAGUUCCUGGACCAGGGAUUGAAUCUGAGAACAGCAAUAACCCGAGCUAUAGCAGUGACAAUGCUGAGACCUUAACAGACAGACCUUUAGGGAACUCCUCACCUUUGUGUUAUGCCCCCUAUACCAGAGCUCUUGUCUUGAUGCUUGUUUCUGGUGGUUACCAGGUGGCCAUUGCAUCUGUUCCCUCCUAUGCAAGACAAGAAGGGAGGGGCUGAACCAUCAGCAUCUGCCCCAUCAUGUCAGGAGAAGCAAACCUGCCCCAGAGGCUCCCAGGAGACUCUGACUUUCAUCCCGGUAGCCAGAACCACAUUGUAUCACCAUCUUGAACUUCUAAGAAGCUGGACAAAUGUCUGAAGCCACGUGCCUCACUCUUGCCUUACGUAGGAACACCUUUCCUGGCAGACACCUUCUAAAAGCUCCAAUGCCAGGCCUGUCAUGCUGUACCCUGUAGACUUCUCUGUGCUGGAGCCAGGCUGUGAGCCCCCAGUCCAAAGUUGCCAUCUUGCUCAGGUCAAAAUUUAUGUGUGCCGUUAAGCUUGGAGGAAGGGUAGGGGAAUAAAAAACUCUUCUCCAUUUUUGACCCUUGCCUUUUUCUCAUCUCCAUCAAUUACAGACGUUAAGGACCCAAUUCUCAACAACAAGAAAGCCGAAAUAAUAGCAGUGUUCUUUUCCAACAAUCAGUAAUGAAACCGAAGACCAGCAGGAACUAGACGUCUCUUCCAAAUCCCCCAAACUCAGACUGUCCUUAGGAUAAUCUGAGUAUUGAAGGCUGUGGUCAAACUCUUUG
rnacentral:lncRNA from 9 species